rnacentral:misc_RNA from 1 species
AAGUCGAUAGGCCCGAUCGGGUCUGUGUUGGGCCUCGCACGUCAGGGCGUCGCCUCGAAUGAAUCGGUCGAAUGUGCGGACGAGAUCCAUUAGGACUGACCGUUCAGAGACCAUAAACCUCUG